rnacentral:lncRNA from 1 species
UCCAAACCUGCAAUCACAGCUUCAUACUCUGCUUCAUUAUUAGUUACAGGGUGACAUUUUAUAGUUUGUCUAGUUGUUUCACCCGUAGGUGGUAUAAGAACAAUUCCUAAAUCUGCCCCUUUUAUAUUAGAUGAACCAUCGGUAAAUCAUAGCCAAGUCCCCGGAUUAACUCCGUUAAAAGCUUGUAAUUCUUUUUCUGCUUCUAGAUGUAUGCUUUGACUAAAAUCAGAUACGAAAUCAACGAGUACUUGAGAUUUGAUAGCAGUUCGAGGUUGGUAAAUUAUUUCGUACUCACUUAAUUCUAUAGCCCAUUAUACUAAUAUUUCCUACUCUACGAUCUACGAAAUCAGCGAUACUUGAGAUUUGAUAGCAGUUCGAGGUUGGUAACUUAUUUCGUACUCACUUAAUUCUAUAGCCCAUUUUGCUAAUCUUCCUGAUAAUUCAUAUUUAUGCAAUAUAUUUCUUAAAGGAAAAGCAGUAACAACCACAAUAGGAUAACAUUGAAAAUAAGGUCGUAGUUUUCUAGAUGCCAUGAUGAGAGCUAAUGCUAAUUUUUCUAGUUGUGG